UAGCAUAUCAAUAAGCGGAGGAAAAGAAACCAACAGGGAUUGCCCCAGUAACGGCGAGUGAAGCGGCAACAGCUCAAAUUUGAAAUCUGGCCCCAGGCCCGAGUUGUAAUUUGCAGAGGAUGCUUUUGGCGCGGUGCCUUCCGAGUUCCCUGGAACGGGACGCCAUAGAGGGUGAGAGCCCCGUACGGUUGGACACCAAGCCUUUGUAAAGCUCCUUCGACGAGUCGAGUAGUUUGGGAAUGCUGCUCUAAAUGGGAGGUACAUUUCUUCUAAAGCUAAAUAUUGGCCAGAGACCGAUAGCGCACAAGUAGAGUGAUCGAAAGAUGAAAAGCACUUUGAAAAGAGGGUUAAACAGCACGUGAAAUUGUUAAAAGGGAAGCGCUUGUGACCAGACUUGCGUCCGGUGAAUCACCCAGCUCUCGCGGCUGGGGCACUUCGCCGGCACAGGCCAGCAUCAGCUUGCCGUCGGGGACAAAAGCUUCAGGAACGUGGCUCCUCUCGGGGAGUGUUAUAGCCUGUUGCACAAUACCCUUCGGCGGGCUGAGGUACGCGCUCCGCAAGGAUGCUGGCGUAAUGGUCAUCAGCGACCCGUCUUGAAACACGGACCAAGGAGUCAACCUUAUGUGCGAGUGUUUGGGUGUCAAACCCCUACGCGUAAUGAAAGUGAACGCAGGUGAGAGCUUCGGCGCAUCAUCGACCGAUCCUGAUGUUCUCGGAUGGAUUUGAGUAAGAGCAUAUAGGGUUGGACCCGAAAGAAGGUGAACUAUGCGUGUGUAGGGUGAAGCCAGAGGAAACUCUGGUGGAGGCUCGCAGCGGUUCUGACGUGCAAAUCGAUCGUCAAACAUGCGCAUGGGGGCGAAAGACUAAUCGAACCUUCUAGUAGCUGGUUUCCGCCAAA
rnacentral:rRNA from 1 species